CUGGUGACAUGUGCUGUUCAGCUCACA
rnacentral:piRNA from 1 species